CACGUAGGGUGCAAGCGUUGUCCGGAAUCAUUGGGCGUAAAGAGCUCGUAGGCGGCUUAGUAAGUCGGGUGUGAAAACCCCAGGCUCAACCUGGGGACGCCACCCGAUACUGCUAUAGCUAGAGUCCAGUAGGGGAGUGUGGAAUUCCUGGUGUAGCGGUGAAAUGCGCAGAUAUCAGGAGGAACACCAGCGGCGAAGGCGGCGCUCUGGGCCGGAACUGACGCUGAGGAGCGAAAGCGUGGGUAGCAAACAGG
rnacentral:rRNA from 1 species